AGAAAUAACAAUACAAGGCAAUUAAAAUGCUUUGUAAUUGGAAUGAUAGAAAUUUAAACCCUUUUUAAAGUAUCAAUUGGAGGGCAAGUCUGGUGCCAGCAGCCGCGGUAAUUCCAGCUCCAAUAGCGUAUAUUAAAAUUGUUGCAGUUAAAAAGCUCGUAGUUGAAGUUCUGCUAAAAGUAACCGGUCUGCUUUUAAUAAAAGUGGUAUCUUGGUGUGUAUUUAGCAAUGAUGUCCUUUGAAGUGUUUUUUACUUUAUUGUAAUAAAGCAUAUUCAGGACUUUUACUUUGAGAAAAUUAGAGUGUUUCUAGCAGGCCGACGCUUUGAAUACUGCAGCAUGGAAUAAUAAGAUAGGAUUUUAGUUCUACAUUAUUGGUUUUAAGAGCUAAAUUAAUGAUUGAUAGGGACAGUUGGGGGCAUUUGUAUUUAACUGUCAGAGGUGAAAUUCUUAGAUUUGUUAAAGACAAAC
rnacentral:rRNA from 1 species